rnacentral:rRNA from 1 species
AACGAACGCUGGCGGCAUGCCUAACACAUGCAAGUCGAACGAGACCUUCGGGCCUAGUGGCGCACGGGUGCGUAACGCGUGAGAACAUGCCCUUAGGUUCGGAAUAACUUCCCGAAAGGGGUGCUAAUACCGGAUAAUGUCUCCGGACCAAAGAUUUAUCGCCUUUGGAUGGGCCUGCGUUGGAUUAGUUAGUUGGUAGGGUAAAAGCCUACCAAGGCGACGAUCCAUAGCUGGUCUGAGAGGAUGAUCAGCCACACUGGGACUGAGACACGGCCCAGACUCCUACGGGAGGCAGCAGUGGGGAAUAUUGGACAAUGGGCGAAAGCCUGAUCCAGCAAUGCCGCGUGAGUGAUGAAGGCCUUAGGGUUGUAAAGCUCUUUUACCCGGGAUGAUAAUGACAGUACCGGGAGAAUAAGCUCCGGCUAACUCCGUG